rnacentral:rRNA from 1 species
UACGAAGGGUGCAAACGUUGCUCGGAAUCAUUGGGCGUAAAGCGCACGUAGGCGGCUUGCCAAGUCGGACGUGAAAUCCCUCAGCUCAACUGAGGACGUGCAUCCGAAACUGGCGAGCUUGAGUACUGAAGAGGAUCGCGGAAUUCCCGGUGUAGAGGUGAAAUUCGUAGAUAUCGGGAGGAACACCAGUGGCGAAGGCGACUUACUGGACGAUUGUUGACGCUGAGGUGCGAAAGCGUGGGGAGCAAACAGG